UACGUAGGGCGCGAGCGUUGUCCGGAAUUAUUGGGCGUAAAGAGCUCGUAGGCGGCCUGUCGCGUCCGCUGUGAAAUCCCGGGGCUUAACCCCGGGCCUGCAUUCGAUACGGGCUAGCUAGAGUGCGGUAGGGGAGAUCGGAAUUCCUGGUGUAGCGGUGAAAUGCGCAGAUAUCAGGAGGAACACCGGUGGCGAAGGCGGAUCUCUGGGCCAUUACUGACGCUGAGGAGCGAAAGCGUGGGGAGCGAACAGG
rnacentral:rRNA from 1 species